rnacentral:misc_RNA from 1 species
UUAGUUUAUUUAACUAUUUUCAGAUUUAACAUGGUUAAAAGAAUUUAUUGUGGGCUACUGACGAGCACUGGCCAAGGGUUUAAAACCCCCGACGGUCCGGUUGAAGACGGGCCCGCCAAAGCAACAUGGUAGUUAUACAAAGGGUUGGAGAUCGGGCCUGGAAGACCCUAACUCAUUAAUGAUCCUUCCGCAGGUUCACCUACGGAAA